GACGAACGCUGGCGGCGUGCUUAACACAUGCAAGUCGAACGGGUCUGCCCUGUUUUUUGCGGGGUGGGUCAGUGGCGAACGGGUGAGUAACACGUGAGUAACCUGCCCCUCACUUCUGGAUAACCGCUUGAAAGGGUGGCUAAUACGGGGUGUUCUGGCUGUGCCGCAUGGUGUGGCUGGGAAAGAUUCACUUUUGUGGUGUUUUGGUGGGGGAUGGGCUCGCGGCCUAUCAGCUUGUUGGUGGGGUGAUGGCCUGCCAAGGCUUUGACGGGUAGCCGGCCUGGGAGGGUGGGCGGUCACACUGGGGCUGAGAUACGGCCCAGACUCCUGCGGGAGGCAGCAGUGGGGGGUAUUGCACAAUGGGCGGAAGCCUGAUGCAGCGACGUCGCGUGAGGGAUGGAGGCCUUCGGGUUGUGAACCUCUUUCGCCGGUGAAGAAGGUCCUGCUAUUUGUGGUGGGGUUGACGGUAGCCGGGUUAUGAAGCGCCGGCUAACUACGUG
rnacentral:rRNA from 1 species